GAUGAACGCUGGCGGCGUGCCUAAUACAUGCAAGUCGAGCGAACGGACGAUAAGCUUGCUUGUCUCAUGUUGGCGGCGGACGUGUGAGUAACACGUCGAUAACCUACCUAUACGACUGGGAAAACUUCGGGAAACCGGAGCUAAUACCGGAUAAUAUUUUGAACCUCAUGGUUCAAAAGUGAACGACGGUGUUGCUGUCACUUAUAGAUGGAUCCACGCUGCAUUAGCUAGUUGGUAAGGUAACGGCUUACCAAGGCAACGAUGCAUAGCCGACCUGAGAGGAUGAUCGGCCACACUGGAACUGAGACACGGUCCAGACUCCUACGGGAGGCAGCAGUGGGGAAUCUUCCGCAAUGGGCGAAAGCCUGACGGAGCAACACCGCGUGAGUGAUGAAGGUCUUCGGAUCGUAAAACGCUGUUAUUAGGGAAGAAAAGAUUUGUAAUUAACUGUGCACAUCUUGACGGUACCUGAUCAGAAAGCCCCGGCUAACUACGUG
rnacentral:rRNA from 1 species